rnacentral:lncRNA from 1 species
UGAUUUUCUUCUACUCUACAAGGAAAGAAAGUCAACUUGACGUGAGGAAGGAGUUAAGUUCAGCAGUUUCUACACCGAAGCCCGAACUAUUGGACGAGGCACCCGCUUGCUUGAAUAGGAAAGCCACGAGUGAAGCAGACGUGUGUGUGAGUAUUGCUUUCUAUUUACGAGGUGGACUGACGGACCAGACCUAUGACGCUAAGCAAACUCUCCAAAUUAGAUUGAUACCAGAAAAUGAGAUUUAUACACCGAGACACACAUAUAGAAAAGCCCAUUUAAUACGUUGUUAGAUGCGUUUGCAGGGAAAAAGCUAG